AUGUGGACGGAGCUCUGGUCCAGCCUCUGUGCCCACACACCCAGGGCCCCGGGCAUCUCCUUAGGGUCCUCUGAGGUAUACAUCCUGCUCCAACAGACUCUCCAAGGGGGCGACAGCAGGUGCCUAAACACUAAACCUAAAAAAAGGGCUGCCCUGCUGCCCAGGCGUCCUCAACACGAACACCACGCUUUUCCCAGAGGCCCCCAUUAUGUGAAGUCUUUGGGCCUUAAAGCCCACCCUACUGGAAAAAGGGGUAAGACACAGUCCCCCCGUCAGACACAGUCCCCCCAUCAGAAACAGUCCCCCCGUCAGACAGUCCCCUCAUCACACACAGUCCCCCCGUCACACACAGUAACCCCGUCACACACAGUACCCCCGUCAGACACAGUACCCCCGUCAGACACAGUCCCCCCAUCAGAAACAGUCCCCCCCUCAGACAGUCCCCCCAUCACACACAGUCCCCCCGUCACACACAGUACCCCUGUCACACACAGUACCCCCGUCAGACACAGUACCCCCGUCAGACACAGUCCUCCCCAUCACACACAGUCCCUCCAUCACACACAGUACCCCCGUCAGACACAGUACCCCCGUCAGACACAGUCCUCCCCAUCAGAAACAGUCCCCCCGUUAGACAGUCCCCCCAUCACACACAGUACCCCCAUCAGACACAGUCCUCCCCAUCAGACACAGUCCUCCCCAUCACACACAGUCCCCCCAUCACACACAGUCCCCCCGUCACACACAGUCCCCCCGUCACGCACAGUCCCCCCGUCAGACACAGUCCCCCCGUCAGACACAGUCCUCCCCAUCAGAAACAUUCCCAUCAGAAACAGGCCCCCAUCACACACAGUCCCCAUCACACACAGUCCCCCCAUCACACACAGUACCCCCAUCAGACACAGUCCUCCCCAUCACACACAGUCCCCCCAUCACACACAGUACCCCCGUCAGACACAGUACCCCCGUCAGACACAGUACCCCCAUCAGACACAGUCCUCCCCAUCAGAAACAGUCCCCCCGUCAGACAGUCCCCCCAUCACACACAGUCCCCCCAUCACACACAGUCCCCCCGUCACACACAGUCCCCCGUCACACACAGUACCCCCGUCAGACACAAUACCCCCAUCAGACACAGUCCUCCCCAUCACACACAGUCCCCCCAUCACACACAGUACCCCCAUCAGACACAGUCCUCCCCAUCACACACAGUCCCCCCAUCACACACAGUACCCCCGUCAGACACAGUACCCCCGUCAGACACAGUCCUCCCCAUCAGAAACAGUCCCCCCGUUAGACAGUCCCCCCAUCACACACAGUCCCCCCAUCACACACAGUCCCCCCAUCAGACACAGUCCCCCCAUCACACACAGUCCCCCAUCACACACAGUCCCCCAUCACACACAGUCCCCUCAUCAGACACUAUCCACCCCCGUCACACACAGUCCCCCGUCACACACAGUCCACACACAGUCCCCCCUCACACACAGUCCCCCCAUCAGGUGGAGCACCUCAUAG
rnacentral:lncRNA from 1 species